GUUCCCGAGCUGCACCAAGCAACCUCAGUGUAUCAAGGAGGGAUGACUCAGCCAGCCUCCUCUGUGGCGAGUUCUUCCUCCCACCCAUCUUCUGAUACUUCAUCAAUUGAUCAACAAUUUCAACAGGUUUCCAUCCAACAGGAAUCUUCUCAAAGCCAAGCAAUUCAACCUGCACCGUCUAGUAAAUCCAUGAGAUUCCCUCUGAGACCAGGCAAGGGUAGCUCUGGCAUAAGGUGUAUCGUUAAAGCUAACCACUUCUUUGCCGAGUUACCAGACAAAGAUCUUCAUCAGUAUGAUGUUACCAUUACCCCAGAAGUCACUUCGCGGGUCUACAAUCGAGCUGUAAUGGAACAACUAGUGAAAUUAUAUAGGGUCUCGCACCUUGGGGAUCGGCUUCCUGCUUAUGAUGGAAGAAAAAGUUUAUAUACGGCUGGUCCCCUCCCUUUCAUAUCUAAUGAGUUUAGAAUAACUCUUUUUGAUGAAGAAGAUGGAUCCGGAGGACAAAGACGGGAGAAAGAAUUUAAAGUUGUGAUCAAGUUUGCUGCUCGUGCUGAUCUGCACCAUCUUGGACUCUUUUUGCAAGGCAGACAGGCUGAUGCCCCUCAAGAAGCCCUUCAAGUUCUGGAUAUUGUAUUACGUGAACUGCCUACUUCAAGGUAUUGUCCAGUGGCCCGAUCAUUUUACUCUCCAGACCUUGGCAGACGUCAGACACUGGGUGAAGGGUUGGAAAGUUGGCGUGGCUUUUAUCAGAGUAUCCGCCCUAC
rnacentral:misc_RNA from 1 species